AUAUAUAUUAAAUGAAAAAUUCAGAUCAAUUAUUCACGGACGCAAACGCACCUAGAUAGAAAUGUUACUUUUUUGUGUUACGGAUUGGAUUUGAUCGAUCCGAUAUCAAUUGGGGUUAGUUUAAUCGAUUUGUUAUUCGAUUAACGCUCCUUGUAAAUCGAUUCCUCGAACUAAUCGAUUAUCGAUGGUUACAAAAGAACAAUUCGUCUAAUAUCCGUUGCGGUUGCUCGCUCCCGACGAUCGAGGAAGUAACGAGAGUGGGUGCAGCCCUAGUUACGUAAGAAGGCUUUACCAAAGAUGCCUCGGCAAUGCACAGUGAUUCUCAAAUAAUAUAUGACUCUCUCCUUCAUUAGUAUAUUAGGUGAAUUAGUUGAAACAAUGAAUGUUGAUUGUUUCUUUUCUUCGUUGUCCACAAAAAAAUUGCAGUGAUUUAUAACACGUCAUAAUUUUUUUUUCUUCUUUUUUUUUUCUUUUUUUUUCUUUUUAAAAGAACCACUCAUUUCGACCAAUCAGCUAUUCCGAUAGAAAAAAAAAAUGGCCACUAGGAUAACCACCGUUACGACCAAUCAACAAUCUCGAUAACAAACAAACAAAAAAAUAACGAAUAAGAGAAGCUUCCUCGUUGGUCAGACGACCGGAGAUGAGCGUUCGUUUGAGUGAUCCACAUAUACAUUCUAACUUUGUUAAUUCAAAACGGAAAUUGAUAGUUGCCAGACUCGUGUAACGGAACAAGUAUUUACAAGUAUGCGUAUAUGAAUAA